rnacentral:rRNA from 1 species
UACGGAGGGUGCAAGCGUUAUCCGGAUUCACUGGGUUUAAAGGGUGCGUAGGAGGGCAGGUAAGUCAGUGGUGAAAUCUCCAAGCUUAACUUGGAAACUGCCGUUGAUACUAUCUGUCUUGAAUACCGUGGAGGUGAGCGGAAUAUGUCAUGUAGCGGUGAAAUGCUUAGAUAUGACAUAGAACACCAAUUGCGAAGGCAGCUCGCUACACGAAUAUUGACUCUGAGGCAUGAAAGCGUGGGUAGCAAACAGG